AGUGAACGCUGGCGGUAGGCCUAACACAUGCAAGUCGAACGGCAGCACAGAGGAGCUUGCUCCUUGGGUGGCGAGUGGCGGACGGGUGAGGAAUACAUCGGAAUCUACUCUGUCGUGGGGGAUAACGUAGGGAAACUUACGCUAAUACCGCAUACGACCUACGGGUGAAAGCAGGGGAUCUUCGGACCUUGCGCGAUUGAAUGAGCCGAUGUCGGAUGAGCUAGUUGGCGGGGUAAAGGCCCACCAAGGCGACGAUCCGUAGCUGGUCUGAGAGGAUGAUCAGCCACACUGGAACUGAGACACGGUCCAGACUCCGACGGGAGGCAGCAGUGGGGAAUAUUGGACAAUGGGCGCAAGCCUGAUCCAGCCAUACCGCGUGGGUGAAGAAGGCCUUCGGGUUGUAAAGCCCUUUUGUCGGGAAAGAAAUCCAUCUGGUUAAUACCCGGGUGGGAUGACGGUACCCAAAGAAUAAGCACCGGCUAACUUCGUGCCAGCCGCCGCCGUAA
rnacentral:rRNA from 1 species